GGGUGUAUAGAAAAUUGCUGGUGUUUUGGAGCAAGGACUUUUCACCUGCUAGAAAGCAUCCAAAAGUGAGGUGCUUAACUCCAGGCACCAAUCCAAGCAGUGACUUUGUUACUAAGAGGGAAGGGACUUUGGUUGGUUUCACAUCGGCCUUUUUUUUUUAGCCACAACUACAUGCUGACACAAUUCUGCCAACGUUGUAGGUUUUUGUUUUUAGGUGAAAGUUAAAUGUGGCCUGUGCCCCCUCAUUUAAUUCCCAUUUUGUAGGGACAUCCUACUGACUUCGUUGGAUAGCCACCAAGGUCGCUCCAGAUCUUCAGCAGAUGUUUUCCUUGAGGCAGCUAUUGGAAGAUAUGUUUUCUGAGGAAACAGACUACAACCCAUUUAUUAAAACCAUUUGCAUUGUAUUCAUUUAUCAGA